CAGGCCUAACACAUGCAAGUCGAGCGGGGAAGGGUAGCUUGCUACCUGACCUAGCGGCGGACGGGUGAGUAAUGCUUAGGAAUCUGCCUAUUAGUGGGGGACAACAUUCCGAAAGGAAUGCUAAUACCGCAUACGCCCUACGGGGGAAAGCAGGGGAUCUUCGGACCUUGCGCUAAUAGAUGAGCCUAAGUCGGAUUAGCUAGUUGGUAGGGUAAAGGCCUACCAAGGCGACGAUCUGUAGCGGGGCUGAGAGGAUGAUCCGCCACACUGGGACUGAGACACGGCCCAGACGCCUACGGGAGGCAGCAGUGGGGAAUAUUGGACAAUGGGGGGAGCCCUGAUCCAGCCAUGCCGCGUGUGUGAAGAAGGCCUUUUGGUUGUAAAGCACUUUAAGCGAGGAGGAGGCGACCUAGAUUAAGACUUUAGGAGAGUGGACGUGACGCGCAGAAGAAGCACCGGCUAACGAUGUGCCAGCAGCCGCGGGAAG
rnacentral:rRNA from 1 species